CUCUCAAGCUGAGUGAAGGGGUAUUUUCAGAGAGCAACUAUAGAAUGUGACUUAUUUUUCAGCUAACAUACAGGAAGCCCUUGUCAAAAGGAGGUCUCUGCCCUUUCUCUACUCUUUCUUCUCUGUGUGUUUUGGAUAGUCAACUGCUAGCUAUCAGUGACAGUGAUAGAUAAGGACAUACAGCCAGAGGAAACAGUCAUACAACAGCUUAAAUAGAUGUCUGGUGGUCCCUUCUCCUGCUUCUCCAAACAGGGAAUACUCCUUCUCCUACUCUUCAACUUCCACUAUGGUGUGGGUGUUUCUUCAUACCUGUCAUUCCACAAGACAGUAGGGGACUCCGUGGAGAUCCCUGCAGGCUUAGAGGGGCAUAAUGUCACCAUAAUGCAGUGGAAGUACAGAGGAAAGGAUAUUGCAGAAUUCAACUCAGAAGUUGUAUAUUCACGAGGAUCCCAGUUUGAGGGGAGACUAGAGAUGAAUGUCAUUAACUUCAGUUUAACAAUUAGGAAACUGACUCUGCAAGGAAUUUCUUGUUACUGCUGAAACAGACACGCUUAUUUUCACUAAGGCUGUCACUCUGCAGGUUCCAGGUAGGCAGCUGUCAGCUUCUUUUUUUUUUACAUAGAUAGAUAGAUAGAUAGAUAGUUUAGUUUCUAUCUAUCUAUCUAUCUAUCUAUCUAUCUAUCUAUCUAUCUAUCUAUCUAUCUAUCUAUCUAUCUAUCUAUCUAUCUAUCUAUCUAUCUAUCUAUGGUGGGUGCAACAUGAAACAAGCCUCUCCACAUUCUGAUAUCAAACCACAAGCUCUCACAAGAAAGUGACUACCCUACAUUGAUGUUGCUUCUCUGUGAGAACCUUGGCUUUUAUAACCAAUGCCACGCAGACCUGGUUAGUGUGGUGGUGUGCAUUUAACCAUGUCAUCACUCAGGAACUAAAGAGUGGUGCCAACUCAGUGGUUGCAAAAUGUGCUGUCAAUAACAAUGAAUUCAAAAUGCCAUUUUUGUUGGAUUCCUUGUAGUAUCGAGUUGCUAUUAUUGUAAGUAGUUGAGAGUUCUUUCGCUACAGUUAUAGUAAACUGUGCUAAGAGAUUAAUGAGUGGUGUUUUGGUGUUUUUGGUCUCUGUACUCUCUCUGUGUGAAGAAAAUGGAAAGACAGUGGACAUUUAUAAACUCAGCAAAAAAAGAAACGUCAUCUGUGUUUAUUUUUUAGCAAACUUAACAUGUGUAAAUAUUUGUAUGAACAAAACAAGAUUCAACAACUGAGACAUAAACUGAACAAGUUCCACAGACAUGUGACUAACAAAAAUGGAAUAAUGUGUCCCUGAACAAUGGGGGGUCAAAAUCAAAAGCAACAGUCAGUAUCUGGUGUGGCCACCAGCUGCAUUAAAGUACUGCAGUGCAUCUCCUCCUCAUGGACUGCACCAGAUUUGCCAGUUCUUGCUGUGAGAUGUUACCCCACUCUUCCACCAAGGCAUCUGCAAAUUCCCAGACAUUUCUGAGGGGAAUGGCCCUAACCCUCACCCUCCGAUCCAACAGGUCCCAGAUGUGCUCAAUGGGAUUGAGAACCGGGCCCUUUACUGGCCAUGGCAGAAUACUGACAUUCCUGUCUUGCAGGAAAUCACACACAGAACGAGCAGUAUGGCUGGUGGCAUUGUCAUGCUGGAGGGUCAUGUCAGGAUGAGCAGGAAGGGUACCACACGAGGGAGGAGGAUGUCUUCCCUGUAACGCACAGCGUUGAGAUUGCCUGCAAUAACAACAAGCUCAGUCCGAUGAUGCUGUGACACACCGCCCCAGACCAUGACAGACCCUCCACCUCCAAAUCGAUCCCGCUCCAGAGUACAGGCCUCGGUGUAACGCUCAUUCCUUUGACGAUUAACACAAAUCCGACCAUCACCCCUGGUGAGACAGAACCGCAACUCGUCAGAGAAGAGCACUUCUUGCCAGUCCUAUCUGGUCCAGCGACGGUGGGUUUGUGCCCAUAGGCGACAUUGUUGCUGGUGAUGUCUUGUGAGGACCUGCCUUACAACAGGCCUACAAGCCCCCAGUCCAGCCUCUCUCAGCCUAUUGUGGACAGUCCGAGCACUGAUGGAGGGAUUGUGUGUUCCUGGUGUAACUCGGGCAGUUGUUAUUGCCAUCCUGUACCUGUUCCGCAGGUGUGAUGUUCGGAUGUACCGAUCCUGUUCAGGUGUUGUUACACGUGGUCUGCCACUGCGAAGACGAUCAGCUGUCCAUCCUGUCACCCUCACCUGCUGUCUUAGGCAUCUCACAGUAUGGACAUUGCAAUUUAUUGCCCUGUCCACAUCUGCAGUCCUCAUGCCUCCUUGCAGCAUGCCUAAGGCACAUUCACGCAGAUGAGCAGGGAACCUGGGAGUCUUUCUUUUGGUGUUUUUCAGAGUCAGUAGAAAGGCCUCUUUAGUGUCCUAAGUUGUCAUAACUGUGACCUUAAUUGCCUACCGUCUGUCGGCUUUAAGUGUCUUAACGACCGUUCCAAGUUCAUUAAUUGUUUAUGGUUCAUUGAACAAUAAUGGGAAACAGUGUUUAAACCCUGUACAAUGAAGAUCUGUGAAGUUAUUUGGAUUUUUACAAAUUAUCUUUGAAAGACAGGGUCCUGAAAAAAGGACGUUUCUUUUUUUUUUGUGCUGAGUUUAGCUGCAGUCCGUACUUCAAACUAUCACAACAUGUUCAUCUUCCCACUUGUUGUGGUAAACACUUGUUUGAUGGUGCUCAGGAAAUUGUAAUGUUCAAUUCUGAAACGGAAUGAUUGCAUCUCCUAAAAACAAACAUAUAAGACGUUAAGAUAUUGCUCCAGAUUUACAGGUGUAUUUCUACAUGAUGUUGCACAGCUGGUGCCUUAAUCCCGGAGAGCCCUGCCUAUCCCAUAACUGAGGGAGACUCUGUGACUCUGCGCUGUGCAAAUAGUUAUCAGGAAACAAACCCGAACCCCGGGGUUGAUUCCUACAAAGAUGGAGUACUCAUCAGGAAGGAAACCACAGGAGAGAUGAACAUCCCUGCAGUGUCCAAGUCAGAUGAAGGCUUCUAUAAGUGUACAUCUAAAGAAGGAGAAUCACCAGAGAGCUGGGUGACAGUGAGAGUCCCUCCAGGUUCUGUUGUCUUCAUCUCUCUGCUGCCCAGGCUGCUGUGUGGUUUACUGGUGGUGUCUCCCUUUCUACUGGUGUCCAUCAUACUGAUGGUGAAAUGCUGCAGGGCUCGAGGCUUGUGUUCAACAGCCAAAUCUCCUCAAGACGAGUUACCAUCUGAUGAUGUCAUCAAACAGACUGACUCAUCCAUGUGAUCCGUUACAAUAUGAACUGUCAGCUGAAAAAAACACGUUUAUGAUUUUGACGUUUUUUGCCAUUGCCUUGCCAUUGAUUUAUGAUUGUGUUUACUGAGUUUAAUAUCUGAAUGUUACGAUUUUGUAGGUUAACAAUUUCAGCUUUUGGUGGCUUGUGUCCUUUCCUCUGUUAUUGUUAAAUGUUUUCGAUUUUUGUUAUUAUAUUGCACUUACCUCUCUUUAACUUCUGUUAAUUAAACAAGUGUAGUGCCUGUUUUUAUUUCAAGGCCCAGUGCAAUAAAACAUGUGAUUUUCCUGUGUUUUAUAUACAUAUUUCCACACUAUGAAGAUGGAGUAAUACAAUGGAAUUGUGAAAAUUGUGAUAAUUUCCUUUAAGUCUAAGAGUUAUUUGAAAAGAACACUUGAAAUUUCAGCAUUUUGGUGGGAUGGAGUUUUGGACUGCCUGGUGAUAUCAUUAAUUAAUAAACCACAAAAAAGAGUUCCAAACCUCUCUGCCAAUAACAGCUAUUGGAGGUGUACCUCAAUUGGAGGUGUACCUGUAAAUGUAUUUCAAGGCCAACCUUCAAACUCAGUGCUUGACAUCAUGGGAAAAUCAAAAGAAAUCAGCCAAGACCUCAGAAAAAAAUUAUAGACCUCCACAAGUCUGGUUCAUCCUUGGGAGCAAUUUUCAAACGCCUGAAGAUACCACGUUCAUCUGUACAAACAAUAGUACGCAAGUAUAAACACCAUGGGACCACGCAGCCAUCAUACCGCUCAGGAAGGAGACGCGUUCUGUCUCCUGGAGAUGAACGUACUUUGGUGCGAAAAGUGCAAAUCAAUCCCAGAACAACAGCAAAGGACCUUGUGAAGAGGCUGGAGGAAACAGGUACAAAAGUAUCUAUAUCCACAGUAAAACAAGUCCCAUAUUGACAUAAUCUGAAAGGCUGCUCAGCUAUGAAGAAGCCACUGCUCCAAAACCGCCAUAAAAAACCAGACUACGGUUUGCAACUGUACACGGGGACAAAGAUCGCACUUUUUGGAGAAAUGUCCUCUGGUCUGAUGAAACAAAAAUAGAACUAUUUGGCCAUAAUGACCAUUGUUAUGU